AUGGCCGACUCCAAGCUGCCCGACAUCCAGUCCGGCUACGAAAAGGGCAUCACCAAUGUCAUGGCCGGGCUGUCGGGGCUCAAUCUGGUCUAUGAGUCCG
rfam:Aminobacter sp. Root100 contig_10, whole genome shotgun sequence.